rnacentral:rRNA from 1 species
CCUACGGGUGGCAGCAGUGAGGAAUAUUGGUCAAUGGACGAGAGUCUGAACCAGCCAAGUAGCGUGAAGGAUGACUGCCCUAUGGGUUGUAAACUUCUUUUAUAUGGGAAUAAACUGUUCCACGUGUGGGCUUUUGUAUGUACCAUAUGAAUAAGGAUCGGCUAACUCCGUGCCAGCAGCCGCGGUAAUACGGAGGAUCCGAGCGUUAUCCGGAUUUAUUGGGUUUAAAGGGAGCGUAGGUGGAUUGUUAAGUCAGUUGUGAAAGUUUGCGGCUCAACCGUAAAAUUGCAGUUGAAACUGGCAGUCUUGAGGACAGUAGAGGUGGGCGGAAUGCGUGGUGUAGCGGUGAAAUGCUUAGAUAUCACGAAGAACUCCGAUUGCGAAGGCAGCUCACUGGACUGCAACUGACACUGAGGCUCGAAAGUGUGGGUAUCAAACAGGAUUAGAUACCCCAGUAGUC